AUACCGUAUAACACUAUUUUCCGCAUGGAAGAAAGUUGAAAGGCGCUUUUGCGUCACUGAUGGAUGGACCCGCGGUGCAUUAGCUAGUUGGUGAGGUAACGGCUCACCAAGGCCACGAUGCAUAGCCGACCUGAGAGGGUGAUCGGCCACACUGGGACUGAGACACGGCCCAGACUCCUACGGGAGGCAGCAGUAGGGAAUCUUCGGCAAUGGACGAAAGUCUGACCGAGCAACGCCGCGUGAGUGAAGAAGGUUUUCGGGUCGUAAAACUCUGUUGUUAGAGAAGAACAAGGAUGAGAGUAGAACGUUCAUCCCUUGACGGUAUCUAACCAGAAAGCCACGGCUAACUACGUGCCAGCAGCCGCGGUAAUACGUAGGUGGCAAGCGUUGUCCGGAUUUAUUGGGCGUAAAGCGAGCGCAGGCGGUUUCUUAAGUCUGAUGUGAAAGCCCCCGGCUCAACCGGGGAGGGUCAUUGGAAACUGGGAGACUUGAGUGCAGAAGAGGAGAGUGGAAUUCCAUGUGUAGCGGUGAAAUGCGUAGAUAUAUGGAGGAACACCAGUGGCGAAGGCGGCUCUCUGGUCUGUAACUGACGCUGAGGCUCGAAAGCGUGGGGAGCGAACAGGAUUAGAUACCCUGGUAGUCCACGCCGUAAA
rnacentral:rRNA from 1 species